rnacentral:rRNA from 1 species
GAUGAACGCUGGCGGCGUGCUUAACACAUGCAAGUUGAACGGUGAAGCAGGAGCUUGCUCUUGUGGAUCAGUGGCGAACGGGUGAGUAACACGUGAGCAACCUGCCCCUGACUCUGGGAUAAGCGCUGGAAACGGCGUCUAAUACUGGAUAUGUGAUGUGACCGCAUGGUCUGCAUCUGGAAAGAAUUUCGGUUGGGGAUGGGCUCGCGGCUUAUCAGCUUGUUGGUGAGGUAAUGGCUCACCAAGGCGUCGACGGGUAGCCGGCCUGAGAGGGUGACCGGCCACACUGGGACUGAGACACGGCCCAGACUCCUACGGGAGGCAGCAGUGGGGAAUAUUGCACAAUGGGCGGAAGCCUGAUGCAGCAACGCCGCGUGAGGGAUGACGGCCUUCGGGUUGUAAACCUCUUUUAGCAGGGAAGAAGCGAAAGUGACGGUACCUGCAGAAAAAGCACCGGCUAACUACGUGCCAGCCGCCGCAGUAA